CGACCUCAUGGCUUGGUUUUUGCUCUGAUGUGCACUGUCAACUGUGGGGCCUUAUAUACAGCCCCAGGAGCCCUAUGUGUUUGAGCAGGAAGCCCAGGCAGCCAUGCGUAGCGUGGUGAUGUUACGUUACUCUCUCCUGCCAUUCCUCUACACACUCUUCUACCACGCACACACCUCCGCAGACACUGUGGCCAUGCCCUCUACUCCUCUUUUCUUCAAUUUCCAUUAUCCACUCUUCUCUCGCUCGCUCUCUUCAACAUUUGGAUACUAUUGCAACAUCUUUUUUACUGUGUUGAUAUAUUCUCUGUCCCCCUUUCCCUCUCUGUCCAUCUCUCUCAGAUUCCCCUCAAACCCUAACUGUUAUUUGUCAUAGAACAAGAGACCCAGAAUUAUUUUGUGAAACUGUGUAAUGAAAUGUAAAACAAAAUACUCAGUGGAAUACUAAUCU